rnacentral:rRNA from 1 species
GUGGGGAAUCUUGCGCAAUGGGCGAAAGCCUGACGCAGCCAUGCCGCGUGAAUGAUGAAGGUCUUAGGAUUGUAAAAUUCUUUCACCGGGGACGAUAAUGACGGUACCCGGAGAAGAAGCUCCGGCUAACUUCGUGCCAGCAGACGCGGUAAUACGAAGGGGGCUAGCGUUGCUCGGAAUUACUGGGCGUAAAGGGCGCGUAGGCGGACAGCUUAGUCAGAUGUGAAAGCCUAGGGCUCAACCUUGGAAUUGCCUUUGAUACGGGCUGUCUUGAGUUUGGGAGAGGUGAGUGGAACUCCGAGUGUAGAGGUGAAAUUCGUAGAUAUUCGGAAGAACACCAGUGGCGAAGGCGACUCACUGGCCCAAUACUGACGCUGAGGCGCGAAAGCGUGGGGAGCAAACAGGAUUAGAAACCCUUGUAGUCC